rnacentral:rRNA from 1 species
AAUGGGCGCAAGCCUGAUCCAGCCACGCCGCGUGAGUGAUGAAGGCCUUCGGGUCGUAAAGCUCUUUCAGAGGGGAAGAAGGGCAACUUGACGGUACCCUCAGAAGAAGCACCGGCUAACUCCGUGCCAGCAGCCGCGGUAAUACGGAGGGUGCAAGCGUUGCUCGGAAUUAUUGGGCGUAAAGCGCGUGUAGGCGGCUAUUUAAGUCUGGUGUGAAAUCCCGAAGCUUAACUUCGGAACUGCGCUGGAUACUGGAUAGCUAGAGGACGAGAGGGGAUGGUGGAAUUCCUGGUGUAGGGGUGAAAUCCGUAGAUAUCAGGAGGAACAUCGGUGGCGAAGGCGACCAUCUGGCUCGUAACUGACGCUGAGACGCGAAAGCGUGGGGAGCAAA